rnacentral:tRNA from 1 species
ACUGGAUUCGACUAGUGGUUUAGGUCGACGCACUUUCGAUGCGUAAACAGGGGUUCGAAUCCCCUAUCCAGUG